rnacentral:misc_RNA from 1 species
AACGCACAUUGCGCCCUUUGGUAUUCCAAAGGGCAUGCCUGUUCGAGCGUCAUUUGUACCUUCAAGCACUGCUUGGUGUUGGGUGUUUGUCCCUGUUCUACACAUGGACUCGCCUCAAAGCUAUUGGCAGCCGGCAAACAGCCUUGGAGCGCAGCACAUUUUUGCGCCCCUUUUGCUGGAACGUUGGCGUCCAUCAAGCCUACACUUUUGCUCUUGACCUCGGAUCAGGUAGGGAUACCCGCUGAACUUAA